rnacentral:lncRNA from 1 species
UGUCGCACUCACAUGUGUGUGAUGCCCCUCGUCUCACCUGUACCCUCUGCGCCUCUCUACAGUGUGUGUUAUGCUCUCUCGUCUCACCUGUACCCCUCUGUCGCUCUCUACAGUGGUGUGAUGCUCUCUCUCGUCCACCUGUACCCCUCUGUCGCACUCUACGUGUGUGUGAUGCUCUCUCGUCUCACCUGUACCCCUCUGUCGCUCUCUACAGUGUGUGUGAUGCUCUCUCGUCUCACCUGUACCCCUCUGUCGCACUCUACAGUGUGUGUGAUGCUCUCCUAGUCUACCUGUACCCCUCUGUCGCUCUCUACAGUGUGUGUGGAUUCCCCCCGUCCACCUGUACCCCUCUGCGCACUCUACAGUGUGGUGUGAUGCUCUCCUCGUCUCACCUGUACCCCUCGGUCCGCUCUCUACAGUGUGUGUGAUGCUCUCUCGUCUCACUGUACCCCUCUGUCGCUCUCUACAGUUUGUGUGAUGCCCCGUCUCCCUGUACCCUCUGUCGCUCUCACAGUGUGUUUGAUGCUCUCUCGUCUCACUGUACCCCUCUGUCGCACUCUACAGUGUGUGGUGAUGCUCUCUCGUCUCACCUGUACCCCUCUGUUGCUCUCUACAGUGUGUGUGAUGCUCUCUCGUCUCACCUGUACCCCUCUGUCGCACCUCUACAGUUGUGUGUGAUGCUCUCCUUCGUCUCACCUGUACCCUCUGUCGCACUCUACAGGGUGUGUGAUGCUCUCUCGUCUCACCUGUACCCCUCUGUCGCUCUCUACAGUGUGUGUGAUGCUCUUCGUCUCACCUGUACCCCUCUGUCGCUCUCUACAGUGUGUGUGAUGCCUCACGUCUCACCUGUACCCCUCUGUCGCUCUCUACAGUGUGUGUGAUGCUCUCUCGUCUCACCUGUACCCCUCUGUCGCUCUCUACAGUGUGUGUGAUGCCCUCACGUCUCACCUGUACCCCUCUGUCGCUCUCUACAGUGUGUGUGUGUGUGUGUGUGUGUGUGUGGUGUGUGGUGUGUGUGGGUGUGAGAGAGCGAGCAGUGACAUAUUGUAAUGUACUUGUUAGCCCCAACUUGUUAUGUAUCUCUUGAUGUGUGGAGAAAGGCCAUCUGUUAGAUAUAGAAAUAACUAAGUAGACAUUUGCACGUGUGGUGUAAUGUGGUUUGUCUGAUGAAUGGUUGUGGGUGAUGUUGAUUAGAGAAGAGUGACGUGUACCUCCUUCAUUUGUCCUCUAAUUCCAUCCCCCAUAAUGCCAUUACUACUAUUGGAUUUCGCCCUCCUUACACACAGACACUCCUGAUUGUUGGGCUCAUAAAACAAUGUUUAAAAAGAUUGUCAGAUCUGCCAGGUCAGCUCCCAUUACCGAGCCUCGCUUAACCCUUUAAUUUCUAGGAAAAGGGGAGUGUGUAAGGAG